rnacentral:misc_RNA from 1 species
CUUUUGAUUUGAACAGAUUAAAAUACUGUUGUUUUUGUCGCAGAUUCUGUACGCUCGAAAGGUGUUUUAAUCUCAUAAGCUGACGUUUUUAAUGAAAACGGCUUUGUGCUGCAAUUGAUGUGAAUUGGAAAGAAUGUCGAUCGAUUACGAAGUAUGCUUUUGUAUUAAUUUAGAAUGUACUAAUAUGUUUUUACGUCGGGUUAAUUUACAAUAAAGAAUUGUUAAAAUAAUUAACAUA